rnacentral:rRNA from 1 species
AUGUUCCAGGAGCUUGCACCACACGACCCACACGACAAGUGUGGUCACCACUAUGCGAUCUGCCUUGACCUGAAGAACCAACGUUUUGAGGUGCUUGAUUCAAUGCGUUCAGAAGCUGAUGCAGACCUUACUACGCAUGCUGAAUACUUCAUCAACAACCUCAAAGAGACAUGGAACCAUCACUAUGAAAACUCAAAGGUCCAGAUCAGACAUUUUCCAAUUGAGUACGUGGCGACUACGAAGCAAGGAAACCGGCACGACUGCGGCUUCCACACGUUGGAAUACCUUACAAAGUGGGAAGGUCGACGGGUUCCUGUCGUCACAGCUGCAAUGGUCGUCGAGCUCCGCAAAAUUUACACAUGGAACUGGUUGAUGAAUGAAGAUUUCAACACGCGGUCCAACGCACGUGAGUUCAUAGAGGAAGCUGUGAAGAAAGCCGCCAAGAAGUACAAGUGA